ACCCUAAGCCAAGGACUUCUCAGUUUCCCAGGCUCUGCCAGUGAAGAGGAGCACAAAAAGCUGAGAGGGAGCACAGCCAGAACAGCUGCUCUGAACUGGCCAAAGGGAUCUUCUGUACCACAGAACAUCAUGUCCAGCGUAUACAAUUCUGGAGAGAAUUGGCCAGGAGGGGCCAAUCACAGUCUGGGGACAAGCUGGGCAUUGGUCAACAGGAGCCCACUUGCAUGGAGCUGCCAGAGGCGCGGGGUCAGCUGGCAGACAUGCGGGAACUGAGAAGGGAGAAAGCAAUAGAAGACUACAGAAUGAAAGAGGAUGGUCUUUUCAUCCAACCAGCCAUGGAAUUUAAUAGAGAGAAACAAUCCACAGAAGGAUAGAAACUACAGAGAUGAUGGAGAUUGCUUUCCCACAAAAAAAACCACGGUCUCAAAACACAUCCUUCAACAGUCAAGGAUGUACUUUGUCAAAGCAGAGCAAAAGCAGAGCUUGAAAAUCAAAUUCAUAUGGUAAAAUCUGUGGGAGGGCCUUAAAAUUACCUCAAGCAGACUGUACGAAUUUCACUUCUGACACAGGUGAUUUGAUGAGCUUGGAUUGGGUGUUUGGAGACAUCCAAGUGAAGAAAGAGGCUAUUCCUCUUGCAGAGGUGUCAAACAAAAGCUCCUGACUUUAUAAUGACAAGUAAUUCAACAUCCCACUGUUGAAUGGAAAUAAUGAUGGUCUUCUGUCUUUUGGAGGAAAUUCUUGCUGUGUCUGACUGUUCUUCUCUAGGUCUAUUUUUGAGAUCCAUUUUUUCUGAGAGCUAUUUUUGAUUUUAAGAGUGACUUUUAUUUUUCUUGCAUUGUUAAAAGACCACUUUCUUAAACUAUAUUGGUUGUUACCUGUUGCAGGUAUGUAAAAUUCUCAUUAGAGCAGCUUCCUGCUGGAAGUUGCAGACCACCAUCACCACUGUUGUUUGCCAGUGCUGCCACAUCCAGUUCAAGUGGAUAAGGCUGUAACACCACUGUGCUGUGUGGUGUGUGUGUAAAAAGCAGCUUAGGAGGUACAGACCAGUCCCUCCCCAAGCAAGAUAAAGUAUUAGGGCAAUACUAUUGCUCUACCACAGGACAAAAUUAAUGUAGGCCAGGCCUCAGUCUCAGAACAAGUUCUUUGACAUAUUGGUGAACACUGAUGAAUGUAGAAUAGGGAAGAAUGGAUGAGGUCAAAGGUCACCGUGCCAACCAGAUUGCAGUCCAAGAACAAUCUGGGCAUCAGACUGCAAAGGUGGGAAUAAUAAUGACACCAGCUUGGAAGGGAUGUUACAUCUGCAUGUGAGUACAUGCCACUACCUGUUUGAAUUGGUUUUCUUGGGAUGUAAAUUGGUGUGACUGUGUUUAUGAUGUAUCUGCACAUUUAAAAAAUAUUUUUAGGGGGAACAUGUUGUUUUUCUGGUGUGUUUUUUAUGUUUUCUACCUCUCCCCACAAAGUACUAGAUUGGCAGUAUUUAAAUAGGUCUUCAUUUGAAACUGUAAGUCAAACUUGCUCACUUGGCAGAGUGAUGGAAAAACUGCCAAGGUUUUCUUUGUCAUUAAACUGAAAAAAGUAGAUUUUUUCCAAACAGUCAUGGGUUAUCACAGAUCAGUGGGGUACAGUGUGGAACAUGCAGGUUCUUUUGUCAGAGACAGAUCAAGAGCACUUAGGUUGUAUCUCCACAACCAAAAGUAUCUGUGUUCAUGCAGUCCUAUUUCAGAAAGAAAAUAGUGAUAUAUCAAGUUAAGGGAAAGAGGGAGGGAACAAGAGCUGAGAGAUGAAAGCAUCAAGUCUGGGAUAUAGUAUGGAAUGUCUCUACAGGAUUCAAAGCAAUUGCUGAGGCUACCCUUCUUGAUAAGAGGCUGAGCUGCUUUCUCAGCCUCUUCCAAGGACUUGAUCUCUGGAACAGCAUUGUCAUGGAAAAGGAUUUCCAGAGAGAGACCUCACAGUCUAGUUGCAUCUGUGCCACUAUAAUGAUUCAAGUGGCAAAACUUUCUUGGGUAAAUAUAAGUACCACUUCCCCUUUGGUUCCCUUUUGACAACAGCAUAAAGAAAAUAAAUAUAUUGGAAUUGA